UACGUAGGGGGCAAGCGUUGUCCGGAAUUAUUGGGCGUAAAGAGCGCGUAGGCGGCCCGGUAAGUCCGCUGUGAAAGUCAAAGGCUCAACCUUUGAAUGUCAGCGGAUACUGCCGGGCUAGAGUCCGGAAGAGGCGAGUGGAACUCCUGGUGUAGCGGUGGAAUGCGCAGAUAUCAGGAAGAACACCAACGGCGAAGGCAGCUCGCUGGGACGGAACUGACGCUAAGGCGCGAAAGCGUGGGGAGCGAACAGG
rnacentral:rRNA from 1 species